GACCCCACUCAUCUUCUCCUACCUCUAACCAGUCUCCUGCUCGCGUACGCAACCCGCGCGCCUGAUCUCCCUGAUCCCUCCCUGAUCUGGUCCAUCUCGAACCGCCACGAGACCUCCUCGACCACCUCUUCCGAUUUCUGCACCAAGCACUCGGUUUCCCGUUCAAGAUCGAGCACACGGACCUCACAAAAACUCCGCCGACCGAGCUUCCUUCCAUGGCCAAACCCCGGCAACUAUGCUCGAAUUCAAGCACCCAAGGUCGCCCGAUCUCACCGGAGCGCCAUCCAUCGUCGUUUCACUUCUCUGCAGGACCAGGAUGCCCCAGAGCAGUCCGGCGACGUGUGAGAUCACACCCUGCCACGCCUAAUCUCCCCGACUUCCCUAAGUCACAGAACCACCGGAGACGCCUUUCACCACCGCCAUCUUCCCCUGCUUCCGAUUGCCCGAAGCGUGAGGAGUAGAAAUAUCAGGAUUGUGAGUGCGAAGAACUUCAUCAAAUGUACCAG